GAUGAACGCUGGCGGCGUGCCUAACACAUGCAAGUCGAACGGACGGACCAUAAGCUUGCGUCGUUCUUGUUAGCGGCAGGCGGGUGAGUAACGCGUGGAUCCCCUCCUUAUCUUUCGGGGAUAAUUUCGGAAAACCGGAUCUAAUACCGUAUGAUAUUCUGAACCGCAGGGGUCAAAGGUGAGUUACGGUCUUUGUGGCUGUAAUAGCUGGUUCCGCGCUGCAUUGGCUAGUUGGUAAGGUAACGGCUUACCAAGGCUACGAUGCGUAGCCGACCUGAGAGGGUGAUCGGCCACACUGGAACUGAGACACGGCCCAGACUCCUACGGGAGGCAGCAGUAGGGAAUCGUCGGCAAUGGGCGAAAGCCUGACGGAGCAACGCCGCGUGAGUGAUGAAGGUCUUCGGAUCGUAAAGCUCUGUUAUUGGGGAAGAACAGAUGUGUAAUUAACCGUGGCCAUCGUGACGGUACCUAAUCAAAAAGCACCGGCUAACUACGUG
rnacentral:rRNA from 1 species